GAUGAACGCUGGCGGCGUGCUUAACACAUGCAAGUCGAACGGAAAGGCUCCUGCUUGCAGGGGUACUCGAGUGGCGAACGGGUGAGUAACACGUGGGUGAUCUGCCCUGCACUUCGGGAUAAGCCUGGGAAACUGGGUCUAAUACCGGAUAGGACCCCAUUUUGGAUGGUGUGGUGGAAAGUUUUUCGGUGUGGGAUGAGCUCGCGGCCUAUCAGCUUGUUGGUGGGGUAAUGGCCUACCAAGGCGUCGACGGGUAGCCGGCCUGAGAGGGUGUACGGCCACAUUGGGACGGAGAUACGGCCCAGACUCCUACGGGAGGCAGCAGUGGGGAAUAUUGCACAAUGGGCGCAAGCCUGAUGCAGCGACGCCGCGUGGGGGAUGACGGCCUUCGGGUUGUAAACUCCUUUCGCUAGGGACGAAGCGUUUUUGUGACGGUACCUGGAGAAGAAGCACCGGCUAACUACGUG
rnacentral:rRNA from 1 species